GACGAACGCUGGCGGCGUGCCUAACACAUGCAAGUCGAACGAAGAAUGUUUUUCGGAAUAUUCUUAGUGGCGGACGGGUGAGUAACGCGUGAACAAUCUGCCCCGUACAAAGGGAUAGCCUCGGGAAACCGGGAUUAAAACCAUAUAACGCUUUAGUACCGCAUGGUAAUAAAGUCAAAUCGAUUAAGAGGUAUGGGAUGAGUUCGCGUCUGAUUAGCUAGUUGGUGAGGUAAGGGCUCACCAAGGCGACGAUCAGUAGCCGGCCUGAGAGGGUGAACGGCCACACUGGAACUGAGACACGGUCCAGACUCCUACGGGAGGCAGCAGUGGGGAAUAUUGCACAAUGGAGGGAACUCUGAUGCAGCGACGCCGCGUGAGUGAAGAAGGUCUUCGGAUCGUAAAACUCUGUCCUUGGUGAAGAAAAGGACGGUAGCCAAGGAGGAAGCCCCGGGCUAACUACGUG
rnacentral:rRNA from 1 species